UUGAGAAUAACUUUACUUGUUUUUUGGGAGGAGGUUAAUGGGUGGGAGGGGUGAGAGGGGAGAUCUGAUUUACAUACGGACUUGAGACUCCCAAGGCAGUACCCCGGGUCGUCCUCUGCAAGGUUGCCCCGGUGGGGUCUGACGCCCAGCUGGCGUCCGGGAGCCGGGGUGGAGUCCUGGAGGGAGGCGAAGCGGGAUGUGGAGGGGGCCUGGAGUGGGGGGAGGGGGCGGGUGAGGCGAGGCCCGGCCCGCCACAGUCCUGCCUCUGGGCCCCGGGAGCGUCCUCCCUGUGUCCGGGCCGGGCGAGGGCUUAAUGCUAUGGCCAGCGGGGAGGCCUGGCGGGGCCCGGCGGGGGCUGCGGGCUCAGUGGGGCGGGUGGCGCCGCUCGGCCAGGCCCCCGCGGCCCAGCACUUCGCCGCUGAACUGGUAGGUGAGCUUCUUCUUCACCUUCUUGACCUCGCCCGUCUUGCCGUAGUUGCGCAGCGCGCGCGCCAUCUUCUGGUAGGUCAUCUUCUUGCGGUUGCCCUUCUGGAUGCCCCAGCGGUGCGCCAGCGCCUCCUUGUGCUUGGACGAGAACUGGAAGGUGCCCUUGUCCUUGUCCACCCACCAGAUGCUGUCCUUCAUGUCGCCGCUGCGGAGCAGGUCCAACAGGAACUGGUACAGGCGGAUCUUCUUCUUGCUGCCUGUCUCCCCAGGCAGGAGCCCAGGCCCGGGCUCCAGGCCAUCCGCCUCGCCGUCAGACACCUCCAGUGGGGGGCUCUGCCGCUCGCCCUCCUCCUCAUCUGAGCUGGGCUGGGCUGGGGACAGGGAUGGGUACUGGAGGCACAUCCGGGGCAGGUAGGAGACCUGGUGGCCAAGACUGGGAUGGGGUGGCACCAUGGGGGUAUCGAGGACGUGCAUCUGCUCCAGCUCCAUGUGGCGGUAGAGCUGCUGCAGCUGCGGGGGCUGCACGCUCUGGAGCUCCGUGAAGUUGUUCUCGGCGAAGCUCUCGAACUCGCUGUGCACGUGGUGGGGGUGGAAGUCCCAGUAAUGGUCGCUAUGGCUCUCCCCAUCACUGCUGAGAUAGGGGUAAUACUCGUGCGUUUGGCGUUGGUAUAGAUCCGUGUCAUAGGGCACCAGGUCUUCUGAUGGCUAUCAGCUUCGGUUUCCAGGAGCCCCAUGAGAACAGGCAGUAUUUGACUUUCUG
rnacentral:lncRNA from 1 species